rnacentral:rRNA from 1 species
CGAAGGGUGCAAGCGUUACUCGGAAUUACUGGGCGUAAAGCGUGCGUAGGUGGUUCGUUAAGUCUGUCGUGAAAGCCCCGGGCUCAACCUGGGAAUGGCGAUGGAUACUGGCGGGCUAGAGUGCGGUAGAGGGUGGUGGAAUUCCCGGUGUAGCAGUGAAAUGCGUAGAGAUCGGGAGGAACAUCAGUUGCGAAGGCGGCCACCUGGACCAGCACUGACACUGAGGCACGAAAGCGUGGGGAGCAAACAGGAUUAGAUACCCUGGUAGUCCACGCCCUAAACGAUGCGAACUGGACGUUGGGAGCAACUAGGCUCUCAGUGUCGAAGCUAACGCGUUAAGUUCGCCGCCUGGGGAGUACGGUCGCAAGACUA